rnacentral:ncRNA from 1 species
AUUUCCCCAGAUUUUCCGUCGUAGUGUCCGUUUGGACAGGGAACCUUGACAGAGUGAUGGUUUCAACCAUCCACGCAGUAAAGCUACACCUGGGUGCGUUUGAUGUCAUGU